ensembl:lncRNA
AUGCUGUUUCCUCAGGUGGCGGCCGCGUUCUUACGGAAAAUGCAGGACUGCUUCCUCCCACACCCACAGCUACAGGCAGCUCUGAGCACUUUCGCUUUCACCAGAGCAUUCUGUCUGUCGGGAAUUUCUUUCAGUGAAAUUUGUUUCAAUUGUAAUGUUUUUAAACAGAACAAAAACCUAACCAAACAGAAACGCAGAACACAGAUCUCAUGGGCAGCAUGGCCGUGUCCUUUGGUUAAGAACGAGGUACAAGGAGUGACGAGAAAGGACAGAGCAAACGUGAGAGAACUGAAAUCUCAAAUAGAACAUAAUACGUGACAUCUGCUGUCUGUAAGGAAGUAUAAGCUGUCAGACCCAGAUCUAAAGGACCUCAGAAAUGAGAUGGCCAAGCCCUUGGAGGACAUCCUGGUGGAAUCUUGAGGAAAGAAGGAAGGCAGCAGAAGAAAAGAGAUGGACAGAUGGCCUGGCCUUUGAGAUGGGAAUAAGGGUUGCAUGGAGAACACAGGUGAGUGCGCGCUGUCUAUCUAUGGACAAUUUUAGUUUAGCUGUAAAAAGAUGCAUUGGAAAAUUCUAGAAAAGAAAGGAAUAGGCAUUGGCUCACUUAAAAAGCCACGCCAAGGUGACCUCAUUGCCUGUGGGAACAGGCUUAGGAGGUGUGGGAGCCGCACUGCAUCUUAAUUCCCAGAGGUCCUCAGUCUCCCUGAGGACAAGAUGGAGAAAUGCAGGUCAGAAUUAAUUCACACACAUGAACUCAGAACUGGCUGGACAGUUCUAUCUAACAGGGGACUGUGGACUCUGAAGAUGUCUGGUUUGUCCUGAUGCUUAGUCCUUGGACCUAUUCUGUUAAACAUUGAUUGUCAGUGCUCUGAAUCAUGAGGCCCAUCACUAUCCCCCUGAAGGAACUCACCAGCUCCUUCCCCAGGUGCGUGGGGAUCUGAACUAAAGAGCACGAAGCGUCAGCACUUUCAGGGAGACGCUCUUCACUGUGCACACAGAGACCAGGACGAAUCCUUGUCUCUCACUUGCCCUGACUUCUCUCAGGCUACUUGUCAUGCACAGCCAAUCCCAGCAUGAAUGAAGCCAGCACGUCUUCUCUUGGUGUUUACUGAGUGGGAUGCUGGUGCCUCCUGGGGGGAUUCACUUUUUACGAAAUUGUGUUGAUAUUCUUGCUUAUAGGCCUUGUUAGAAAUAAAGCCCGGAGCGGUAGGGAAACACAAGCACUCAAAGGAUUUCUCAGCAAACAGAUUUACUUCUGCUCAGAAGGAUGCCUCUCAUAGGGCUGAUACCACCAGAGCACCCCGAGCAAAGGAGAGUAGAAGAUUUUUUUUAGGGAGCUUGUGAUCCGCUUAUUAAUGAUUUGAACCUGUAUGAGCAUCUACUGUGUCUUACUAAUUUUUUGUUUUUUUAAAUUAAAUUAAAUUUAAUUUAACUUUACUUCAGGUGUAUUACUAUAUCCAGCAUUUCUCCUCAUGUUAUCCCUCCC